rnacentral:misc_RNA from 1 species
CUUUCUCUUUGGUUUUACCUCCGUGGAACUGUGUUGAUCGGCUGUCCGGCGGCUGUUUGGCAGUGAGAGAGACGGUGCCGGAUCAAGAAAUGGCGUCCACCAAUGAACAAGACCCACGCAUAGCCAAAAUCUCCAAGGCCAUUCGAGUUAUCCCAGAUUUUCCUAAACCAGGGAUUUUGUUUCAGGAUAUUACAACUUUGCUUCUUGAUACAAAGGCCUUCAAGGACACUAUCGAUUUGUUCGUGGAGAGGUACAGAGGGAAGG